CCUGAGCUCAAACAAUCUGCCCACCUUGGCCUCCCAGAGUGCUAGGAUUACACGCGUGAGCCACUGCGCCCGGCCACCAAAUCUACUCUUUCAAACCAUGCUGUUUUAAUGUCUUGGUAAUAAAACAGAAAACUGGGCCAUAUUCUGAAAGGAAGAAAGCGGGCACAGAUGACAAAGAACUGUAGGCAGUGAUGCUCACGUGUGGGGAACCGCAUGCUGUGGUCACUAUGACAUGUGUACAACCCUCUUCCUUCAAAGCCCAGAUGUUCGCCUGGUAGUUGAUUUUUGAAGGCACAAUGGUGUGCUGCCUCCCGUGCCUAAGAGGAGGAGAGGAGAAAUGGCAGACAGGCUCCUGGCCCCCAUUCUGUUUCUCCACCAUGUUUUGACACAGCAUGAAACCCUCACCAGAAGCUGCAAUCUUGAACUUCCCAGCCUGCAGAACCAUGAGCUAAAUAAACCUCUU